rnacentral:lncRNA from 1 species
CGACAGCAGGCGAAUAAGUUAGAGGCUAGGUCCUUUAGGGCUCGCUUUAUCGAGUAUCCUAAGAAAAUCAUAGGAUACUACUUCUAUCUUUCUGAGGAUCACAAUAUGAUUGUAAGCCAUCAUGUCAUUUUCUUAGAAAAUGAGUUUAUCCAAGAUGGAGGAAACAGGAGGAAGAUUGAGCUCGAAAAGAAAGUCUCUGAAGAGUAUCGAAUCCAAGAAUCUGAACCCAAUAAUGAGCCAGUAGAUGUGAUACCUCCUCCACCUC